GAUGAGCGCUGGCGGCGUGCCUAAUACAUGCAAGUCGAGCGAACAGACGAGAGUGCUUGCACUCUCUGACGUUAGCGGCGGACGGGUGAGUAACACGUGGGUAACCUACCUAUAAGACUGGGAUAACUUCGGGAAACCGGAGCUAAUACCGGAUAAUAUUUAGCUUCGCAUGAAGCAAUAGUGAAAGACGGUUCUGCUGUCACUUAUAGAUGGACCCGCGGUGUAUUAGCUAGUUGGUGAGGUAACGGCUCACCAAGGCAACGAUACAUAGCCGACCUGAGAGGGUGAUCGGCCACACUGGGACUGAGACACGGCCCAGACUCCUACGGGAGGCAGCAGUAGGGAAUCUUCCGCAAUGGACGAAAGUCUGACGGAGCAAUGCCGCGUGAGUGAAGAAGGUUUUCGGAUCGUAAAACUCUGUUGUAAGGGAAGAACAAGUACGUUAGUAACUGAACGUACCUUGACGGUACCUUACCAGAAAGCCACGGCUAACUACGUG
rnacentral:rRNA from 1 species